rnacentral:lncRNA from 1 species
GUUACGAUCGGAAGGAGAGGCGGGGGAUCUGGUCGCUGGCUGCACCCCGUGGAACUCGUGCUGGAAUGGGCUGAUGCGGAGCAUUUGAUUCCCGACGGUUGGAGCGGCUCGUUGAUUGCAGCGGAGGAGUGAUCGCCGGCGGAGCAUCCGGGAAUGAAGACGACGCCAUGGCCGGAUGCGGAAGAUGCCCGGCUGAUCUCCCUCCUAGAUUUGGCCCGCGGCUGAUGGAAGAUCGGGCUGUUUUGAUGGAAGGAAAUGAAAGGCGGGAUCACGGGAAGGAUUGGCAGCGGGAGGAAGAAGAUAAACAGUGGGAUUUAUUAUUAUUUAUUUAUUUAUUUUAUUUAUUUAUUUAUUUUACACUGUUCAUAUGAAUAGUGUUUUUACGGGACACUGUUCAUAUGAAUAGUGAAUCCAGUGAUUCUCCCCGAAAUUAUUUUUAUUUAUUUUAUUAUAUUAAUUAUCUUCUUUUUUUUGUUUUCAAUUUAUAAAUUUUAUAUGAAGGCUAGUAAGGAAUUGGUUGGGAAUUGACUUUGGAUUUGAGGUGGGUCAUGAUGGUUGACUUGUCCUUGAGCCCAUUGUCAUUUAAAUUUAAUUCUUGCUAAGCUGCUUCAGAUCGAACUCGACUAGACAAGACUAAAAACAGGACCGUGACCUAAUAAAAAGGGUUAAUCAAACCUCUGCCCCAUACAAAAUAAAUUAUAACUUUCGAUCGAAUCCGGACCAAAACCCAUUUAAUUAUAACCUUAGCUUGACUACAAUUCUAUCAGGUUACCAAACUGAAUCAACACAAUCUCCUCCUUAUAUGUUUUCAUGAAAGAUUAUAACUAGGAGAGAGACAAGUUUAGAGUCUGUCUUGAGAAAAGAAUUAUUUACCUCUUACCAUAUUUUAAAUUCAUUUCAAUAUUUAUUUAAUUUUAUGGUAAAAUAUAUAUUUAUCAGUUUAAAAACAUUGAUAAGUGCUAUGGAAAGAUAACUAAAUUAUAGAUUAUUAAGCACUUAUCACACCCCCAAAUCUAUAUUUUGCUAGNNNNNNNNNNNNNNNNNNNNAGGUCAACACAAUCUCCUCCUUAUAUGUUUUCAUGAACGAUUACAACCAGGAGAGAGACAAGUUUAGAGUCUGUUUUGAGAAAAGAAUUAUUUACCUCUUACCAUAUUUUAAAUUCAUUUCAAUGUUUAUUUAAUUUUAUGGUA